GAGGGCGUAGCUCAGUUGGCAGAGUACAGGGUUGUGGCCCCUGCGGCCGUGGGUUCGAGUCCCACCGCUCUCCCCA
rnacentral:tRNA from 1 species